GACGAACGCUGGCGGCGUGCUUAACACAUGCAAGUCGAAUGGAAAGGCCCUGCUUUUGUGGGGUGCUCGAGUGGCGAACGGGUGAGUAACACGUGAGUAACCUGCCCUUGACUUUGGGAUAACUUCAGGAAACUGGGGCUAAUACCGGAUAGGAGCUCCUGCUGCAUGGUGGGGGUUGGAAAGUUUCGGCGGUUGGGGAUGGACUCGCGGCUUAUCAGCUUGUUGGUGGGGUAGUGGCUUACCAAGGCUUUGACGGGUAGCCGGCCUGAGAGGGUGACCGGCCACAUUGGGACUGAGAUACGGCCCAGACUCCUACGGGAGGCAGCAGUGGGGAAUAUCGCACAAUGGGCGGAAGCCUGAUGCAGCAACGCCGCGUGCGGGAUGACGGCCUUCGGGUUGUAAACCGCUUUCGCCUGUGACGAAGCGUGAGUGACGGUAAUGGGUAAAGAAGCACCGGCUAACUACGUG
rnacentral:rRNA from 1 species